CAGAGAAGACAGCAAACAUGUUAUAAUGAGACACAAAACAGAAGAAAUACUAGAAGACUAGAUUAAAACAAUAAGUGGUGUUAAUAUCUACACACUUCCACGUUGUGAUUACAGCAGUGUAGCCUCUCUCUGUUGCUUUUAUUACAGCAUGUAUUGAGAACUAUAAAUCCUUCAAAGAGCUGUGUUGCUUUUACAUUUCCGUGACAGAUAACAGCGGCACGCUUUAAUGCUUUGAAGAGCUCAUUACAAUGCCUUUGUGGGAACUUUGCUGCGUUGACACACCAUCUGAAGAGCUGAGAAAUUCUCUGUGCUGAGAAGAGUUUGCUCACUUCCGACUGCCAAGCUGAAGCCGACAGCCGCUGCUCAUAUCUGAGCCAAAGCCAAGGCAUGCUCUGGUGAUUAAAAAAGGCGUUAAUGCAAAGUCCAAAUGAAGCCACUGAGAAAGGAUUGAGGAUUCUCGCACAGGAGUGACCACUGGGGGAUUCUCUGUGCUUUUCGGUAACAAGAUGUGUGCAGACCACAGGAGAUGAUAAUGAGCCCCAUGGCAAUGCAGAAACAGACGAGAGUUGUGACUUUGGGAGGUAAUUUGUGAUUUCACGUGGAAGAACCGGCAGUGGACCGUCUCGUGUCUCAUGUGGGUGUACAAAUUUCUCUGAUUCAAACACAGUGGCAUGUUGUGAUAGAGAUGAUUUCUAUGAAGCAUCUUUUACAUAGAAAUAUGAAAGAUAAAGAAGCAGGAAACAGAUGAACAGAGGUUUGGGAGCUUCUUUAGAACCUUUUAUUUGAUGUCUAAAAACAACACCUUUACUUGAGUUUACAAAACGUUCUGCAGUGAAGGCAAGCCAUCUUAAUUAACCCCAAGGUGCUUAAAACAAGAUGUAGGUCACAAAACACCAAACUGUCAAAAUAAUACAUUUACAGUUGGAAUGAGAUGUAUAAAAACAAGCAUCAUCGUUUUUUCUCUGUCUGACAUUAAACCAGAUUAAAGCUCACUCUUCUGUUUUAUUAUGAAAACAUAGUUUUACAAAAUUAUGUUUUAAUUUUUAUGCAAAAAUAUUACAAAUUCUUUAUACUUCCAGUUUUGUCUCAACUGCUUCCAAAAACAGCCAAAGUGCUUAAAAGAACUCCCAGCUGUUUUUUGGCAAUAAUUUCAUGUUUUAUGGUGCCUGCAAAAUUAGUCAUUUCAAAAAACUCCCAAUCGCUAAGUCACAAUUGUUACCUAGCAACACAAGUGGGGCUCCAGCAUGUUUGGUCAGCUGUUUGUACUGCUGUAUGCGCUGUACAAUGGCUGCUAGAAAAUGGCUUUGUUGCUGACAUACCAUCCAGAAACCACUUGCUGCAUUCUUGUUGGUUGUACACAAGGUUUUACUAAUGCUUUUCAAAGAUGUAUGGUUGAAAAACUGUGCCAUCUGUUUGCUGCCAUUUUCACAUGCAAAUGUAAACAUUGUAUUGAGGGGUGUGGCCAGCAGCAACUCAUUUUGGAUUUUAAGUGCCAUUUGAAAUAAAUUAUUUGUACUAUUUUACGAUAUAGUACAACAUGUGACUAAGAACUUCUGCCAGACAUUUCUAAGGAUGGACAGGUGAAUAGGUGGACUAAUGAUGGAACUUUGAGACAAGGGAAUGAAGAAUAAGUCUUAAAAAAGACUAAUAUUUUUCUAUGCCUAUACGUAUCCCGACUUGGACAAUACUUGAAUAAAAUUCCAUACUUUUCCAGAAAGGAUACUAAAGAUAUCUUAUGUUUAGGAACAGUGUUGGUCAGAGAACUCUCCUCAUGUUAAACAAAAAUCUGAAAUAUUUUGUUCUCUAUCCACUGUGCUCCUUUAAGGAACAACUGUAUUUUAUCUCUCCCACUGUCUGGACUUGGGGCUUGUUUAAAUGCUUGGUGAGGACACAAGACAAACGGCAUGACAGCUACAAAAC